CGCCGGUUAGGGAAGUUCGGCCAUCCCGCUUGACUCAUAAUCAAGAGAUCGCUGGUUCAAAUCCAGCACCGGCCA
rnacentral:tRNA from 1 species